GAUGAACGCUGGCGGCGUGCCUAAUACAUGCAAGUCGAGCGAACAGACGAGGAGCUUGCUCCUCUGACGUUAGCGGCGGACGGGUGAGUAACACGUGGAUAACCUACCUAUAAGACUGGGAUAACUUCGGGAAACCGGCGCUAAUACCGGAUAAUAUAUUGCACCGCGUGGUUCAAUAGUGAAAGACGGCUUUGCUGUCACUUAUAGAUGGAUCCGCGCCGCAUUAGCUAGUUGGUACGGUAACGGCUUACCAAGGCUACGAUGCGUAGCCGACCGAACCGGGGGGUCGGCGACACUGGAGCUGGGACACGGUCAAUACGCCUGCGGGAGGGAGCAGUAGGGAAUGUGCCGCAAUGGGCGAAAGCCUGACGGAGCAAGGCCGCGUGAGUUGUGACGGUCUUCGGAUCGUAAAACUCUGUUAUUAGUGAAGAACAAAUGUGUAAGUAACUGUGCACGUAGUGACGGUACCUAGUCAGAAAGCCACGGCUAACUACGUG
rnacentral:rRNA from 1 species